rnacentral:tRNA from 1 species
GGGGAUGUAGCCCAGUUGGUAGAGUGCUUGCCUUGCAUGCAAAAGGACCUGGGUUCAAUCCCCAAUCCCCA